rnacentral:rRNA from 1 species
UACGUAGGGUGCAAGCGUUUGUCCGGAAUUAUUGGGCGUAAAGAGCUCGUAGGCGGUCUGUCGCGUCUGCUGUGAAAACUCGGGCUUAACCCCGGCCUGCAGUGGGUACGGGCAGACUAGAGUGCGGUAGGGGAGACUGGAAUUCCUGGUGUAGCGGUGAAAUGCGCAGAUAUCAGGAGGAACACCGGUGGCGAAGGCGGGUCUCUGGGCCGUAACUGACGCUGAGGAGCGAAAGCAUGGGGAGCGAACAGG